rnacentral:misc_RNA from 1 species
UCUCCGUUGGUGAACCAGCGGAGGGAUCAUUACAGGAUCGAAAGACUCCUAUAACCCCUGUGAACUUACUACAAAUACUUUGCUUCGGCGGGUGCCCCGGGUCUCCCGGGGCGUUCAGCCCGCCGGCAGCCUUCAAAUUCUGUUUCUUUGCGUUGGCAUCUCGAGUAUACAAAAAUAAGUUAAAACUUUCAACAACGGAUCUCUUGGCUCUG